CCUACGGGAGGCAGCAGUGAGGAAUAUUGGUCAAUGGACGAGAGUCUGAACCAGCUAAGUAGCGUGAAGGAUGACUGCCCUAUGGGUUGUAAACUUCUUUUAUAUGGGAAUAAAAUGUUCCACGUGUGGGAUUUUGUAUGUACCAUAUGAAUAAGGAUCGGCUAACUCCGUGCCAGCAGCCGCGGUAAUACGGAGGAUCCGAGCGUUAUCCGGAUUUAUUGGGUUUAAAGGGAGCGUAGGUGGAUUGUUAAGUUAGUUGUGAAAGUUUGCGGCUCAACCGUAAAAUUGCAGUUGAAACUGGCAGUCUUGAGUACAGUAGAGGUGGGCGGAAUUCGUGGUGUAGCGGUGAAAUGCUUAGAGAUCACGAAGAACUCCGAUUGCGAAGGCAGUUCACUGGACUGCAACUGACACUGAGGCUCGAAAGUGUGGGUAUCAAACAGGAUUAGAUACCCUUGUAGUC
rnacentral:rRNA from 1 species